UGGUGGAGUGAUUUGUCUGGUUAAUUCCGUUAACGAACGAGACCUCAGCCUGCUAAAUAGUCAUAUGAAUUUUUCUUUAAAAGCGUCCUUUAUUCUGAGGGUUGGGGCAACCUGGUUCUUAGGGUAGAGGCGUGGAUAAAUUCAUAGCGGUACUUCUUAGAGGGACUAUUGGUGCCGAAGCCAAUGGAAGUUUGAGGCAAUAACA
rnacentral:rRNA from 1 species